GAGAGAGAUCAUGUGGUAUCUGCCUUUCUGUGCCUGGUUUAUUUCACUUAGCCUUAUGUCCUCCAGGCUCAUCCAUGUUGCUGUGAAUGACAGGAUUUCAUUCUUUUCCCACGAGUUUUUAAUCUUGUUAAGGACAUUUUAACUGUCAUUAACUACAGUGUAUAUUGUCUCUGCUUCUAGACUGUCAUCUCCUCAAGGACUAUGUGUUUUAGCUAAAUUCCUUGCAUGCAGUGGGCCUUAGAAGCUGGGCAAUUUCAGAAAUGAAAAUCACACUGUGAAAGUUAUUCACAGUUUAGUAUUAAGUGAAAGAAGUUAAGUGGGAAGCUAAUUUGCUCAUUUUAAAAAAUGGGGCUACUUGGGAAAAUAUUUUAAAUGGCAUUUUAAGUGUUGGGAUUUCAGGUGAAAUUUCUUAUCUUAUUUUUGUUUUUUGGUUUUCUUCAUUUUCUGCCAUGAAUAUUAUUUGUUUUGUAAUGAAAAGGUAUAUAUAAAAAAUUGAUUGUGAGUUCAAACAAUGCUAUCUGUCAGCAUUAAGCAUGAAAGUACACUAAAGAAACAUUUUGGUCUUGGUUUGGCUGCUAUUUUACAAAAGCAUUCACUAAUUUUUUUUUUUUUUUGAAUGAGAAAACAUUUAUUCCAUCUCCAAACAGCAUCCCAGGGCCGGGCAUCUCCCCUACGACUUUAUAAUACACUCGGCACAGACAGAGUUUGGGAGCCAUGGGACACCUCUGCCCUCCCCAGGCUUCCUAAGUAACAACUGCAGAAUAUUUACAUAAAGCUGGGUGUUGUCAGGCAAAGCCAUUCCCUGCUGCCAGGGGUGGGAGCAAGAAGGAAGUGCCAUGAGCACCAGCCCCGCCUUCACACCGUGGGAGGCAGCCCAGAGGCCACCGGCACAGGGUGGUGGCCCCCAGAUCAUACAGCAGUGGACACAGGGGAAGCAAACCUGAGUGAGGACACAAGAGCCUGGUCCGGCUCCGCUGCACAGGUGGAGAUGAAGAGAGUCCUUCCAUCCAUCUGCUGGACCUGCUGGGCCUCAGGGCUUUCUCUGAAGUGGUAGGGGGAAGAUGUCACAGAGGAAAUGUAAAGAAAAGUCUACCUCGGCAGUCUACAGCGUGGUGGAUAAAAAAAGAGCAGGAAGAGUCUGGCGAGGCGAUCAGCCUGAUGUAGUACCUGAGGAAGGCAAGAAAGGAUAUAAAGAAAAUAAGAAACAACACUUUCUCUGCACAUCCAAAUUGUGGCAAGGAUUUUUGCAGAUUGCCACCAGUUCACUGAGAGGAGUCAUUGAAAACAUGGCAUUGAGGACAGAGACUGCCACUUCAGAAUUUUCUACAUCCAACUGCUGAAGCCACUCGAAGAUAUUUCCCUCAGAGAACCAUAACCAGCUUUGGAGAAGAUGCUUCCACAUAGCUUGUUUCACAGCAUCUCAUCUCUCAUUAAAACCUUGUUGAGGGAGCAUUACUGUCUGAGCAAUGGACAUAGCUCUCAUACGAACCUUUUCAGCUAACACCGGAUAAGCCAGCUUUCUGACAGCCUCUUUCACAUCCUUGGUGCACCCUACAAUUUUUGGCAAAGUCUUUGCUGAUGGUGCAAUACAUGAUAA
rnacentral:lncRNA from 10 species